CUUUCAUCCGAUCUUGUUAGGCGGCCGGGUCUCGCCACCCUUAACCCUUGCUGCAGAAGUCGUGGAUGGAGCCCGGCUCCCGUAGGAGUCCGGGUGAAGUCUUCCUUGGCGUCGUGGACGGAACCCGGCUCCCGUAGGAGUCCGGAUGAAGUCUUCCUUGGCGUCGUGGACGGAACCUGGCUUCCGUGGGAGUCCGGAUGAAGUCUUCCUUAGCAUCGUGGACGGAACCCGACUCCCGUGGGAGUCCAGGUGAAGUCUUCCUUGACGUCGUGGACGGAACCCGGCUCCCGUAGGAGUCCGGGUGAAGUCUUCCUUGGC
rnacentral:lncRNA from 1 species